GUUCAUACAAGAUUUUCCACGUUUGUACUCUUUGUGACUUGCUCUUUUAUCAAGCUUGUUCCACAAAGCUUUGGCCUUCCACGUGGUCACUCUUGACUUUAGUUUGCUGUAAAAGUUCUUAGAGUCCAAAGGAUCUAAUUCAAGUUGGCGUGUGAGAAUAUUAAAGGCCUGAAUGGUACCUUUGCAUGUUGAUGCUUGGACAAAGUUUUCAAAUAUCUGGCCAGCUUGGCUGUAUUUUUCAUCAUCGUUUUCCCCCAUGUUCUGACAGAAGUGCUGAAAAGAGUCAAGCUGGAGCUCUUGUGCUAGGGUGCAGGUAACCAACACUAGCAAGUACUUCCAAGCAUGUUAUUCCGCUGCUGGCGGCGCCUAUC
rnacentral:lncRNA from 1 species